GAUCCUGGCUCAGGACGAACGCUGGCGGCGUGCUUAACACAUGCAAGUCGAACGAAGAGCGAUGGAAGCUUGCUUCUAUCAAUCUUAGUGGCGAACGGGUGAGUAACGCGUAAUCAACCUGCCCUUCAGAGGGGGACAACAGUUGGAAACGACUGCUAAUACCGCAUACGAUCUAACCUCGGCAUCGAGGAAAGAUGAAAGGUGGCCUCUAUUUAUAAGCUAUCACUGAAGGAGGGGA
rnacentral:rRNA from 1 species